AUGAGAGCGCUCGAGGUGGUGGUCGUGCUAGCCAUGGCGGCCAUGGCCAUCGGCACCGUGCACGCUGCACAGUGCGGCUCCCAGGCUGGCGGGGCGACCUGCCCCAACUGCCUCUGCUGCAGCCGCUAUGGCUGGUGCGGCUCCACCUCGGAAUACUGCGGUGACGGCUGCCAGAGCCAGUGCUCUGGCUGCGGCGGCGGUGCCACGCCCGUCACACCCAAUCCCAUUGGCGGUGGCGUGUCCUCCAUUAUCUCCCGCUCCCUCUUCAACCAAAUGCUACUCCACCGUAAUGACCCAGGAUGCCAUGCCAGGGGCUUCUAUACCUAUGACGCCUUCGUCACAGCCGCCGCCGCCUUUCCUGGCUUCGGCACCACAGGCGACACCGCCACCCGAAAGCGCGAGGUGGCCGCCUUCCUAGCGCAAACCUCUCAUGAGACCACUGGCGAGUGGGCCACAGCCCCGAACGGGCCCUAUGCAUGGGGCUACUGCUUCAAGCAGGAGCAGAACCCCACCUCGAACUACUGCACCCCAAGCACGCAGUGGCCAUGUGCGCCCGGAAAGAGCUAUUAUGGCCGUGGGCCCAUCCAACUAUCUCACAACUACAACUACGGGCAAGCAGGCCGGGCCAUCGGGGCCGACCUAUUGGGCAACCCAAACUUGGUGGCCACAAACCCGACCGUGUCAUUCAAAACUGCCAUCUGGUUUUGGAUGAUGGCGCAACUGCCCAAGCCCUCGAGCCAUGCAGUGAUCACGGGACAAUGGAAACCUUCGGCGACAGACCGGGCCGCGGGGCGGGUGCCUGGGUUUGGCGUGAUCACCAACAUUGUCAACGGCGGGAUUGAGUGCGGCCACGGGUAUGAUAAUCGUGUUGCUGACCGAAUUGGGUUCUACAAACGCUACUGCAACAUCUUCGGUAUCGGCUAUGGUGGCAACCUCGACUGCUACAAGCAGAGCCCCUUCGCUUAA
rnacentral:rRNA from 1 species